CACGUAGGGCGCAAGCGUUGUCCGGAAUUAUUGGGCGUAAAGAGCGUGUAGGCGGCCAGGUAGGUAGGCUGUGAAAACUCGAGGCUUAACCUCGAGCUGUCGGCGGAAACCAUCUGGCUAGAGUCCGGAAGAGGAGAAUGGAAUUCCCGGUGUAGCGGUGAAAUGCGCAGAUAUCGGGAAGAACACCCGUGGCGAAGGCGGUUCUCUGGGACGGUACUGACGCUGAGACGCGAAAGCGUGGGGAGCGAACAGG
rnacentral:rRNA from 1 species